rnacentral:lncRNA from 1 species
UUCGAUCAGGGCUCUCUGGCUUGAAUUAAUCACUCACUGUUUAAUGGAUCUUUGAGGCUUGUGCUUGACGCAGUGAGGAGCUGCAUUUCUUUUAUUCCCGAGACCAACAGAACCCUGGAUUUUUCAUCAGAAACCUGCUGCCUCCUUGAAAAUGUCUUGGUGACAUAGGGUUCCAGUUUUUGAUCGGGAAAGGCUAGAGGGAUUCUGCUCCGCUGUUGUAAGCAGAGGACCAGAAGAAGGAUCCAUGAGGACUGGACUGAUGCUGCUGGAGGAUCCCAGAGAUGCUUUUACUUAUCGGAGACAUUAACCCAGAUAGCAGAGGGAGUUCCUCUGAGCCCAUGACCCAGCAAGAAAGACAGAGGAAGAAACAAUAGGAUGAGACCGAUCAACGAUGUUAUCCCUGGGGAAAUAAGCACAAGACAAUCUGAGGUGGUGAAAUACUGAAUCUCAGCGAACCAUCUCUAAAACGUCA